rnacentral:lncRNA from 1 species
UGUGGCAUCUUCAAGAAGAUGGCAUUUUAUCCAAUUCCCCUUUAAUGAGAAUGUGAGCUUAAGUUAGGCUAACUUUUAUCUCUCUGUUGUCCCUAAUCGGACUAAGAAAAGCCACGUGAUCUUGAGCAGAACAAGGAACAUUUCAGCCCCCCAGCCUGUAACAGAGAAUCUUAUGAGCACCGUCUCUGGCAAACCAAAGCUCAGAGUCACCAGGGAGGAGCUUGGACGCCGAGUGAGGAGACCACCACGCAGUUUCAAAGUGGCGGCGCCUGUGGCUGGGUGUGUGGAGUGGAGGGUCCUGACUGUGAAGGCGAUCUCCUCGCCCCCAGGCUCCCUGCUCUGUUACAGGCCUGGGUCUGAGGCUGCUGUGUCCAGGAGCAUCCAGGCAGAGCACCCUGGAGCCCGGAGCAGAGUCCCACUCAAUGCUUACCCAUGCUUCAGACAUGGAGGCCACCCGCUGUGCCAGCUUGUGAUGGGGAUGGUGGGAAGUACAGCCGCCUCUCCUCCAGGCCGGAUGUUUCCUUGCUUCCUCGGGAAGUUGGGGCCAGGGGGGCCGUGCACCCUCUGCUUUUGUACAGUUCUCCAGAAACGACAGAGGCGUCCCACUUCUUUUACAGCCUGUAUUUAUUUAUCAUGAGGUUAAAAAGAAAGCAAACUGUUGUGCCGCCUCCUGGUCUCUGAGGUCAGGGUGGAUGCUCAGUCUCAAGAUGCCACAUGGCGAGGCUCUGCAGCCCGUCUGCUCAAACCUGCCCACACCGCACCUUGCUCCCGGGAGCCCUGAACCCCUCGCCGAGUCUCAGGCUGAGCAUGGGGUCUAAGUCACGCAAGCUCAGCAGGACCAGUAUCUCCCCACGGGGGCAGACAUUUCAUGGGGAAUAAAAUGUCUUAAUCUUCAUAUACCUCAAUUACAGGUAAGCAUGCAAUACCCAGACAGAGAGUUUCCUAGAUGAGGGGCAAUUAGGAAAUAAUAACCUAAAACCCUCUCUAGGUAGACAAUAAUGAAAAACGGUGGUAUAUAAAUCAUAUCUAAAAAAGUCUGUGAUAAAUAUAUAUGUACAUGUGAUGAAAGUGUGUAAAACAGGCGAUCUAAAUGCACCUGGCCCCACGGGGCUAAAGCCCCUGUUUUAUUAAAUGCCACUCCCAGGUGGCCGUGCUGCAUUCAGCACCAUGAUGUUAACAAACAACACAGUAAAGUCUUCUGAUUCUAUACAACCUGCUGAGGUCCAGGGGAGGAGUGAAGAGGGGAAGAGGGUUUGGACCCAAAGCCGUAGCAGGGGGAGUGACCGUACAGGCUUCUAGCGCUGCUGGACACCCGGGAAGCCCUGUUUGGCUGCGGGUGCACGCUGGUUAGGGAGGGUAGCUGGGAUGGCCUGGAUGGCUUGCAGGGGCUGCAUGUUCUCUGGGCAGAAAAGAGGCAUCUUGGUGGAGAGGCACCGUCCGUCCCUCAGGACCGUCUGUCUUUAACAUGCUCCAUACCCACCGGAGACACUUUGUGAGGUGUGCCUGUCCCUGGCACACACACCCUCCUGGGACACUUGUGGGCUAUUGUUCCUGAAGGCUGGCAGCUGAAGUCAUUCCCUGUACACCUUGACCUCCUGUUCUGUCUGGCAAAACCCAACAAUGGCACCAUGACAACAGUGCAAUCGUUGGCCACCUGGGGUGGAGGAGAGGACACCCUGCCGUCUCCUGCUGGAGGAGGAAUGAUUAAUCUCAUUACUCUUGUUGGGAUC